AGCAGCCGCCACGGUAAUACGUAGGGUGCAAGCGUUAAUCGGAAUUACUGGGCGUAAAGCGUGCGCAGGCGGUUUGUUAAGACAGAUGUGAAAUCCCCGGGCUCAACCUGGGAACUGCAUUUGUGACUGGCAAGCUAGAGUGUGGCAGAGGGGGGUGGAAUUCCGCGUGUAGCAGUGAAAUGCGUAGAGAUCGGGAGGAACAUCAGUGGCGAAGGCGGCCAUCUGGGACAACACUGACGCUGAGGCACGAAAGCGUGGGGAGCAAACAGGAUUAGAUACCCGCGUAGUCCCUGUCUCUUAUAC
rnacentral:rRNA from 1 species